AUGAAUCUGCUAUGCUGGAAGUGUCGUGGGAUUGGCAAUGCCCCGACAAUUCAAGAGCUAUGCGAACUCGCGAUAAAGUUUGCCCCUAGAGUACUUUGCUUAUUGGAAACCCGGAUUAGUGGUGAUAGAGCUCAAAACUUAAAAAGCACUCUAGGUUAUGAUAACUCUAUUUCUGUUGAUUCCUCUGGUAGGAGUGAAGGCUUAGCAAUGUAUUGGAAUAAUGAAAUAAAUAUUGAGAAUUUGGGUUACUCGCAGUAUCACAUAGAUAUGCAAAUUUCGGGGCUUGGUGGUGACCCGUGGAGGCUGUCAUGUUUCUAUGGCGAAGCACAAACUCAUCUCCGACAGAGGACAUGGGACACAAUGAAGAACUUGGCAGCGCUCCAUAACCUACUAUGGGGCCUAUAUAGGAGAUUUCAAUGA
rnacentral:rRNA from 1 species